GGGCUUGUAGCUCAGUUGGGAGAGCGCUACAAUCGCACUGUAGAGGUCAAGAGUUCGAGUCUCUUCAGGUCCA
rnacentral:tRNA from 1 species